AAUAUGGGAUAAUGGGGGGCACCCUGAUUCAGCCAUGCCGCGUGUGUGAAGAAGGUCUGCGGAUUNUCUAGCACUUUAAGUUGGGANGAAGGGCAGUAAGUUAAUACCUUGCUGUUUUGACGUUACCGACAGAAUAAGCACCGGCUAACUUCGUGCCAGCAGCAGCGGUAAUACGAAGGGUGCAAGUGUUAAUCGGAAUUACUGGGCGUAAAGCGCGAGUAGGUGGUUCGUUAAGUUGGAAGUGAAAGCCCCCGGCUUAACCUGGGAAUUGCUAUAAAAACUGACGAGCUAAAGUACGGUAGAGGGUAGUGGAAUUUCCUGUGUAGCGGUGAAAUGCGUAGAUAUAGGAAGGAACAUCAGUGGCGAAGGCGACUACCUGGACUGAUACUGACACUGAGGUGCGAAAGCGUGGAGAGCAAACAGG
rnacentral:rRNA from 1 species